UACGGAGGGUGCGAGCGUUGUCCGGAAUCACUGGGCGUAAAGGGCGCGUAGGCGGCUCAUGAAGGCUGUGGUGAAAGUCCGGGGCUCAACCUCGGAUCGGCCGUGGCGACUCGUGGGCUGGAGCACUGUAGAGGCGGGUGGAAUUCCGGGUGUAGCGGUGGAAUGCGUAGAGAUCCGGAAGAACACCAGUGGCGAAGGCGGCCCGCUGGGCAGUGGCUGACGCUGAAGCGCCGACAGCGUGGGGAGCAAACAGG
rnacentral:rRNA from 1 species